AUGUCCUUCCACCUGCUCCUGAUCACAGCCCUGCUGCUGCCUCUGCAUGCGUCCGAGGAAUCCUCUGUUAAAAUGGAGUACCUGAACAUUGCCAGCGUUCAGGCAGAGGAUGAAGCCACCUACUACUGUGCCUGCCACGGCUGUCCUAGCAGUGGCCACAGUGUCGGAAUCACUGUGGGCAUAACCACAUUUGGUGGAGGAACCAGACUUGAUAUCGGUCGUUCCCCCUCUCCCCCCACCCUGACCCUGUUGCCCCCGUCCCAGGCGGAGCUGUCAGGGGGCAAGGCCACCCUGGCGUGCCUGGUGCGGGGCUUCUACCCCGCCUCCCUCACCGUGUCCUGGACGGAGGGCGGGAGCAGCCGAACGGGCAGCGAGGUCCAGACCGGCGAGCCGGAGCAGCAGCCGGACGGCAGCUACUCCCUCAGCAGCCUCCUGACGCUGACCGCCGCCCAGUGGCGCUCCGGCCGCCCAGUCUCCUGCCAGCUGAGCCACGCUGCGCUGUCCGCUCCGCUUAGCCACACCGUUAGCCAGGGACAGUGCGACCGGGUGUAGAGAAAGCACAGCCCGCGCACGCAGCCAUUACUGAUCCACAGGAUAGGAUCGCGGCACUACAGAGCACCACCACCCCGGCAAAUAUAGGACAUGAUACUGACUGCCAUCACCAGGUGACAGAGUGAUCUACAACAUAUGACACAAUUACAGAA